AUUGAACGCUGGCGGCAGGCUUAACACAUGCAAGUCGAGCGGGGAAGGGUAGCUUGCUACCUAACCUAGCGGCGGACGGGUGAGUAAUGCUUAGGAAUCUGCCUAUUAGUGGGGGACAACAUUCCGAAAGGAAUGCUAAUACCGCAUACGCCCUACGGGGGAAAGCAGGGGAUCUUCGGACCUUGCGCUAAUAGAUGAGCCUAAGUCAGAUUAGCUAGUUGGUGGGGUAAAGGCCUACCAAGGCGACGAUCUGUAGCGGGUCUGAGAGGAUGAUCCGCCACACUGGGACUGAGACACGGCCCAGACUCCUACGGGAGGCAGCAGUGGGGAAUAUUGGACAAUGGGCGAAAGCCUGAUCCAGCCAUGCCGCGUGUGUGAAGAAGGCCUUUUGGUUGUAAAGCACUUUAAGCGAGGAGGAGGCUACUGAGAUUAAUACUCUUGGAUAGUGGACGUUACUCGCAGAAUAAGCACCGGCUAACUCUGUGCCAGCUGCCGCAGUAACAC
rnacentral:rRNA from 1 species